rnacentral:lncRNA from 1 species
UAGUAUUUGGGAAAAUAUAUUUCACUUUUUUAGAAAAUAUGAUUUAUACCCAUAAGUUUUAAAAAUUAUCAAAACAAACCAUAAGUUUGUAUUACAAGUCAAUUGGAUCUUCAUUGCAACAAAUAACAAGUAGUGUCCAUGACACUAGAGCAAUGUGGUAGUUUGGAGUGAGUGCAACAAGCAUCAUUCCAUAUAGGGGUGUACA